GAGGAACAAGAAGAAGAAGAAACA
rnacentral:sRNA from 1 species